GUGCACCAGUCGCGAAACUUCACACUGUGCGAAAGCACGAUGAGGGAAUCCCAAGUGCUUGCACGUAAGUGUAAGCUGUUUCUCUGUCUAAAACGCAGAGAGAGUAAGGGCUGGGUAAGACGGGUGCCAGCCGCCGCGGUAAUACCUGCAGCUCAAGUGGUGACCGUUAUUAUUGGGCCUAAAACGUCCGUAGCCGGUUUAAUAAAUGCCUGGGUAAAUUGCGUAGCUUAACUAUACGAAUUCCGGGUAGACUGGUUAAACUUGAGACCGGGAGAAGUUAGAGGUACUCCUGGGGUAGAGGUGAAAUUCUGUAAUCCUAGGGGGA
rnacentral:rRNA from 1 species